rnacentral:rRNA from 1 species
CCUACGGGUGGCGGCAGUGGGGAAUAUUGGACAAUGGGGGGAACCCUGAUCCAGCCAUGCCGCGUGUGUGAAGAAGGCCCUCGGGUUGUAAAGCACUUUCAGUGAGGAAGAACGCCUGGUGGUUAAUACCCAUCAGGAAAGACAUCACUCACAGAAGAAGCACCGGCUAACUCCGUGCCAGCAGCCGCGGUAAUACGGAGGGUGCGAGCGUUAAUCGGAAUUACUGGGCGUAAAGCGCGCGUAGGUGGCUUGAUAAGCCGGUUGUGAAAGCCCCGGGCUCAACCUGGGAACGGCAUCCGGAACUGUCAAGCUAGAGUGCAGGAGAGGAAGGUAGAAUUCCCGGUGUAGCGGUGAAAUGCGUAGAGAUCGGGAGGAAUACCAGUGGCGAAGGCGGCCUUCUGGACUGACACUGACACUGAGGUGCGAAAGCGUGGGUAGCAAACAGGAUUAGAUACCCCUGUAGUC